AGGAAAUAUCCCAAAUCUAGCAUGCGUGUCGAUGAACUUGGCUCCUUUGGCAGCGAUGAGUAUGUCACAAGCCAAAGCGAUCUCAAAUCCAGCGGUGAUAGCGAAACCUGCUAUCGCUCCUAUGAUCGGUUUCCGGCAGCGUUCCAUUUGCGCAACCGGAUCGGAUUCAACAUCCUUCACAUCUCCCUUGAAAACGUCCUCCGCCGCAGUAAGAUCUACCCCAGAACAGAAGGCUCGUCCUGAUCCAGAGAGUACGAUGACUCGCACGGAAUCAUCGCGGUCUAAGCUCUUGAACGCCUGAGCCAAAUCUGUCAUCAUCGGCUUCGUUAACGAAUUCAACGACUUCGGGCGGUUGAUUGUAACGAAAGCGAUCCCGCUUGAUUCCCUGGUGACGAGAAUGAGUUUUUCCGGCGAAGAACGAUCCAUUCCGGCGAAGAUUGAUGAAAUUUGGGAAUGAAGAUUGAAUUAAAAAGAGUUGGGGCAUUGG
rnacentral:misc_RNA from 1 species